AGUCCAGCUGCAAAUCAACACAAAAUGUGGUGAAAUGGGGGCAGGACUGUCUGUCAGGAGGGGCAGUGUGACCUCGACACAGCCCUCACUGCCUCACUGUUCUCGGGCCCCAUGCUCACGUGGGAACGGUUACAACAGAUGCUAUUUCUGACUACCAUGAGGCUGCCCACCACUGACAGAAACUCAGCAUUACCACUGACAGGAGCUCAGCAUUACCUGGCUAUAAUUGAGGAUCUUGAAGACAGACUCGGAGACAAAGAGGAUCUUCCCUCGGUCACAUCCUACGACAAACAAAAAUCCAUCUGCUGCCUAAUCAGGAGAAAUGGAUAAUCAAUUUAUCACAGCUUGCCAGGAUCCCCUCUCUCUCUCCCGCUGCUCCUGACUGCAGGUGUGGUGCUUUAAGUAGUAACGGACCGGGUGAAUUGUGAGUAUAAGCCAAAUAAGCCCUUUCUCACAUCAUGGUGCUGCUCACCAGGGUACUUUAACACAGGGAUAGAAAUGAAACUUGAACCACCACCAGAGAACAUAGACUCUAAGGCUGCACAGACCAUUUAAGAUCAAAUUUUCAGUCUUUAUUAUCCACCUAUCCUGAAUGAGAAUGCCCUUGUUUAUAGGGAGUGCUUCAGACCUCCAAGCUUCAACAUCUCAAGUUGGGUCAUUUUGCCUUUUUCACUUUUGCUGAUG